rnacentral:rRNA from 1 species
AAUGGGUCAGCGACUUAUAUUCUGUAGCAAGGUUAACCGAAUAGGGGAGCCGAAGGGAAACCGAGUCUUAACUGGGCGUUAAGUUGCAGGGUAUAGACCCGAAACCCGGUGAUCUAGCCAUGGGCAGGUUGAAGGUUGGGUAACACUAACUGGAGGACCGAACCGACUAAUGUUGAAAAAUUAGCGGAUGACUUGUGGCUGGGGGUGAAAGGCCAAUCAAACCGGGAGAUAGCUGGUUCUCCCCGAAAGCUAUUUAGGUAGCGCCUCGUGAAUUCAUCUCCGGGGGUAGAGCACUGUUUCGGCAAGGGGGUCAUCCCGACUUACCAACCCGAUGCAAACUGCGAAUACCGGAGAAUGUUAUCACGGGAGACACACGGCGGGUGCUAACGUCCGUCGUGAAGAGGGAAACAACCCAGACCGCCAGCUAAGGUCCCAAAGUCAUGGUUAAGUGGGAAACGAUGUGGGAAGGCCCAGACAGCCAGGAUGUUGGCUUAGAAGCAGCCAUCAUUUAAAGAAAGCGUAAUAGCUCACUGGUCGAGUCGGCCUGCGCGGAAGAUGUAACGGGGCUAAACCAUGCACCGAAGCUGCGGCAGCGACACUGUGUGUUGUUGGGUAGGGGAGCGUUCUGUAAGCCUGCGAAGGUGGCCUGUGAGGGUUGCUGGAGGUAUCAGAAGUGCGAAUG